AGAAGAAGAAACCAGCUACACCAGCGUUGAGGCAACGAGAGAACAUCAUUACGAAGCCAGAGCCUUCAUCGCAAUCUUCAACGGCGGCGGCAGAAUCUAACAUGAGCUCACAAAGGGAAGACCGCGGCCUUGUCCGGCGCUAUAGGACAUCGCUGUUGUUCUUGUGCUUUAUCGGAGUGGUGCCGGGAGGACUAGGAGCUGGAUUGGUCACGACGCUGCUUAGCUCUUCGUAGUCAUCCGUUUAUCAGCCGACAAACGAGGGAGAACCUAUCAGAAACUCACAAAAGGAAUACCGCGACGAUGUCCGGCCCUAUAUGGCAUCGCUGUUGUUCUUGUGCCUUAUCGGAGUGGUGCCAUGGAGGACUAGUUGCUGGAUUGGUGAGGGCGCUGCUGAGCUACUCGUAGUCAUCGGCCACUCCAGCGAAAAAUGGGGGAGAAUCUAACGAGAGCUCACAAAAGGAAGACCGCGGCGAUGACCGGCGCCCUAUGGCAUCGCUGUUGUUCUUGUGCCUUAUCGGAGUGGUGCCAGGAGGACUAGGAGCUUGAUUGAUCACGGCGCUGCUUCGCUCAUCGUAGUUAUCCGUUUAUCUACCGACAAACGACGCAGAAUCUAUCAGGAGCUCACAAAAGAAAGACCGCGGCGUCGUCCGGCGCUAUAUGGCACCGCUGUUGUUCUUGUGCCUUAUCGGAGUGGUGCCUGGAGGAAUAGUAGCUGGAUUGGUGAAGGCGCUCCUUAGUUCCUCGUAGUCAUCGGCCUCUCAACCGACAAACCAGGUCUGUCGACUCUGCAAGCGGCUUGUAGUCAAGACUGGCCAGCGCGGUCGCGAGUGACUGCCUACGUGUUCUGUAUGGAAGAAAGCGGGAAAGGACGUGGUAAAUGGCUCGCUCGCUGCCACAGUGGUCACAAGUAGUACAAUGUUCCCUAAUGAUGCGGAAAACGAAGGAUUUAGCAAAAUGGACGCCAAACGACUGCCGGGAAAAUUUUGUUGUCUCGGGCCAGGAUGGUGCAAGUGGGGGACAACGUCGAAGACGAGAGCCCAAUCGAUACAGACACCGGUGCUGGAAACUGUUCCGCAAAGAUUAUGUGGAGACAUGUGUUGUUGAAAGAUUAUAAAAAUGA